GACGAACGCUGGCGGCGUGCUUAACCCAUGCAAGUCGAACGGUAAGGCCCCAGCUUGCUGGGGUACACGAGUGGCGAACGGGUGAGUAACACGUGGGUGACCUGCCCCGCACUUCGGGAUAAGCCUGGGAAACUGGGUCUAAUACCGGAUAGGACCGCACCGUGAGGGUGUGGUGGAAAGUUUUUCGGUGUGGGAUGGGCCCGCGGCCUAUCAGCUUGUUGGUGGGGUAAUGGCCUACCAAGGCGGCGACGGGUAGCCGGCCUGAGAGGGUGGACGGCCACAUUGGGACUGAGACACGGCCCAGACUCCUACGGGAGGCAGCAGUGGGGAAUAUUGCACAAUGGGCGGAAGCCUGAUGCAGCGACGCCGCGUGGGGGAUGACGGCCUUCGGGUUGUAAACUCCUUUCACCAUCGACGAAGGUUUUCUGACGGUAGAUGGAGAAGAAGCACCGGCUAACUACGUG
rnacentral:rRNA from 1 species